UACAGAGGGGGCAAGCGUUGUUCGGAAUUACUGGGCGUAAAGGGUGCGCAGGUGGGCUGGUAAGUUCGAUGUGAAAGCCCCGGGCUUAACCCGGGAAUGGCAUUGGAUACUACUGGUCUGGAGGAUCGGAGGGGGGACUGGAAUUCUUGGUGUAGCAGUGAAAUGCGUAGAUAUCAAGAGGAACACCAGUGGCGAAGGCGAGUCCCUGGACGAUACCUGACACUGAGGCACGAAAGCCAAGGGAGCAAACAGG
rnacentral:rRNA from 1 species